GGUUCAAUGGUCUAGUGGUUAUGAUUUCUGUCUCACAAUCUUACGAUGGACACAGAAGGUCUCCAGUUCGAUCCUGGAUUGAACCA